UUUCUGGGGCAGCAGCAUGACCCUUCCAGGCCCUUCCUAUUAUGUGCUUCUCUUGGGAACAAUCUUCUUCUAUGCAGUCUUCUUGCAGCAGGAUGCUUUUAGUUAUGAGAAACCAGCCUGGGCAAAUGUUGCUUUUGAUACAACAAAACAGGAAGCAGAGCAUUUGACGAGAGCAUCAUCUCACAGUCUUUACGGCAGUAUUUUUGGCCUAGACCUUUCCAAAAGGUGCCUAGAGAAAUUGUGUGCUAAUAUUACAGUGCUACCCGUUACAAUUAUUGGCUUGGUUAUACUCUGCCUUUUACUGAAACACAUUAAAAACAUCAAGCCCAGUCAGGACAUGACUGAGAUAGUACCUGCUUCCGAACCAAAUAACGAAUCGACCCAGAACAAUCAAGAAAUGCUUGAACAGUUGGUGAGAAACACCCACAAAAUCAACAAAUACAUGAAGUUGUAUGUUAUGAGACAUUACAAGAAAGAAAUGAAAUCUAAAUUAAGCAGAAGAAGAAAGAACUAUGAAAUGGAAAGUGACCGUUUCCUCCCGGUGUGUUCCUGCCAUGAUUCCUGUCAAGACAGCGCAUGAACCUCAAGCCCAGAAAGCUUCCCUCUUCCCAUGUUCCAACAUCUUUCAUGUUACAAGCAGUUCUGUAAAUGACACCAUAAGUGACCAAAACCUCAAUGUUGAGCUCAACAUGUGUUGAGAUGAAAAUUAAAGAUUGUGCUUGGUAGCCUAC
rnacentral:lncRNA from 11 species